CCUUCUGCAGUAUUUUUUCCUUUUUCUUUCAACUCCAUAUUCACCUUUUAUGUAGAAAGUCUUAUCUGCAGUUUGAAGUGGAAGCUGAGGGGUUGAAGAUCAUAUCUGAAUGGACACAUGAAGGAGACAGAGGCAAAGAAUGAGGGGGGAGAAAAGGAGAGCAUGGUCUGAGAAGGCAAGAAAGAGAGCAAGAGACGUAGGAGAGUGUACCGGUACUGGCAAGAAAAACAGGAGGGGGAAGAGAGGAGGACCAGUAAGGGGAUAGACUUAGGAAGGAGGGACGGCUGCAUAGGAAUUGACAAAUCGCGGGAAAAAGAAGAGAAAACACAAAACUCCAGAAUGAGAAGAAAUUGGACUUCUUUCCAAACUCAGACUCGCACUCUGUGGUUGCAUUUGAUUUUGUUUCUGACAUGAUUUUUUCAUCAGUUCUUCUCUCAUUCAUCUACCAAGCCUGAGACAGCCAUAUCUUCAGGACAUGAUUUUAAAAGGAAUGCCUUGGUCAACAAUCCAACAGCUCCCUGCAGAGAAUAGAACCAUGGAAAAUAGAGCUCCAUGUAGUUCCUGGCUG